rnacentral:misc_RNA from 1 species
AAUUUAUUUUCCGUUCACAUAGCUUCGGAGGAAAUUUUCAGGAGCGAAGAUGGUGGUGAAGGUGGACAAUACGGAAAGUAUUCCUGCUACAGAUGAGGUCAUUUCUGAAGAGAUGGAUAUGAAGAAAAAGAAAUACCUUAGGGGCGAAGCAGCGAAUUUGAAGGAUUUGAAAGAUAAAAAAUUACAGGGUCAGCUUGCUGUGCAAGAAGAGUUAUUUGGAAAAUCUGCAGCAGCUGCUGCGAAGGCUGAGAAGUGGCUUAUGCCAAGUGAGGGUGGUUAUCUAGAGGGUGAUGGUAUUGAGAAGACAUGGAGAAUAAAGCAGGACGCAAUUGCCAGUGAAGUUGACAUUUUGAGCUCCAGGAAACAAUUUGAUAUUGUCUUACCAGAUUUUGGUCCUUACACUCUUGAAUUCACCCCUAGCGGUCGCUACAUGGCUGCAGCUGGACGCAAGGGUCACAUUGCUAUUGUAGAUAUGAAAAACAUGAGCGCCAUUAAAGAACUACAGGUCAGGGAAACAGUGCGCGAUGUAGUAUUCUUGCAUAAUGAACUGUUUUUCGCUGCUGCUCAGAAGAAGUACCCGUAUAUAUACAAUAGAGAAGGCACGGAGCUCCACUGCAUGAAGGAACAUGGUGCUGUGCUAAAGCUUCAGUUUUUAAGGAAUCACUUCCUUUUGGCUUCUAUAAACAAAUUUGGUCAGCUGCAUUAUCAGGAUGUUACCACUGGACAAAUGGUAGCUAAUGUUCGAACUGGCUUGGGUCGUACUGAUGUCAUGCAAGUAAAUCCCUUCAACGGUGUGGUUGCUGUGGGCCAUUCUGGUGGCACAGUCAGUAUGUG